rnacentral:rRNA from 2 species
UCAAGUUAUUAAGGGUGCAGGGCGGAUGCCUUGGCACUAGGAGCCGAUGAAGGACGUGAUAAGCUGCGAUAAGCUUCGGGGAGUUGCACGUAAACUUUGAUCCGAAGAUUUCCGAAUGAGGAAACUCACUUAGAGUAAUGUCUAAGUAUCAUUAAGUGAAUACAUAGCUUAAUGAGGGGAACUCAGGGAACUGAAACAUCUAAGUACCUGAAGGAAGAGAAAGAAAUUCGAUUCCGUAAGUAGCGGCGAGCGAACGCGGAUUAGCCCAAACCAAUAAAGUUUUCUUUAUUGGGGUUGCGGACAUAUCAUAACGAAGAGGUAUCGUAAUUGAAGAGGUUUGGAAAGACCCACCACAGAAGGUAAUAGUCCUGUAUGUUAAACGAGAAGACUUUAGAUAUGAUCCAGAGUACCACGGGACACGUGAAACCCUGUGGGAAGCAGGAGGGACCACCCUCCAAGGCUAAAUACUACCUAGUGACCGAUAGCGUAUAGUACCGUGAGGGAAAGGUGAAAAGAACCCCGGGAGGGGAGUGAAAUAGAACCUGAAACCCUGCACUUACAAGCUGUGGAAGCACAUUUCUUGUGUGACCGCGUACUUUUUGUAGAACGGGCCAACGAGUUACGUUAAGUAGCAAGGUUAAGCACUUAAGGUGUGGAGCCGUAGCGAAAGCGAGUUUUAACUGAGCGUUCAGUUACUUGACGUAGACCCGAAACCGGGCGACCUACCCAUGAGCAGGAUGAAGCGAAAGUAAAAUUUCGUGGAGGUCCGAACCCACGAGCGUUGAAAAGCUCGGGGAUGACUUGUGGGUAGCGGUGAAAUUCCAAUCGAGCCCGGAGAUAGCUGGUUCUCCCCGAAAUAGCUUUAGGGCUAGCCUCAAGGUGAGAGAUACGGAGGUAGAGCACUGAAUGUCCUAGGGGGUAUUGCACCUACCGAAGACUAUCAAACUCCGAAUGCCGUCAUCUUAUACUUGGGAGUCAGACUGUGGGUGAUAAGAUUCAUAGUCGAAAGGGCAACAGCCCAGAUCGUCAGCUAAGGUCCCUAAAUGUAAGUUAAGUGGUAAAGGAUGUGGGAUUGCACAGACAACCAGGAUGUUGGCUUAGAAGCAGCCACUCAUUCAAAGAGUGCGUAAUAGCUCACUGGUCGAGUGAUCCUGCGCCGAAGAUUUCCGGGGCUAAAACUUACUACCGAAGCUACGGCAUCAGUAAUGAUGGGUAGGGGAGCUUCCCAUACGGGUUGAAGCAUGAUCGUAAGGACAUGUGGACAGUAUGGGAGUGAGAAUGUUGGCAUGAGUAGCGAGAUGUGGGUGAGAAUCCCACAGGCCGUAAACCCAAGGUUUCCAGGGGAAGGUUCGUCCGCCCUGGGUUAGUCGGGACCUAAGCUGAGGCCGAAAGGCGUAGGUGAUGGACAACAGGUUGAUAUUCCUGUACUACCGAUAACCGUUUGAGAGAAGGGAUGACACAGUAGGAUAAGCUAAGCACACUGUUGGUUAUGUGUGCCCAAGCAUUGAGGCAGUCAAAGUAGGUAAAUCCGCUUUGAUAAUGCUGGGAUGUGAUGGGGAGCGAAAUUUAGUAGCGAAGUAGCUGAUUUCACACUGUCAAGAAAAGUCUCUAUCGAGGUUAAAGGUACCCGUACCGCAAACCGACACAGGUGGGUGAGGAGAGUAUCCUAAGGCCAGCGAGAGAACUGUUGUUAAGGAACUCGGCAAAAUGACCCCGUAACUUAGGGAUAAGGGGUGCCACCAUCAGGUGGCCGCAGAGAAUAGGCCCAAGCGACUGUUUACCAAAAACAUAGGUUUCUGCUAAGUCGCAAGACGAUGUAUAGGAGCUGACGCCUGCCCGGUGCUGGAAGGUUAAGGGGAUCUGUUAGAGCAAUCGAAGCAGUGAACUUAAGCCCCAGUAAACGGCGGCCGUAACUAUAACGGUCCUAAGGUAGCGAAAUUCCUUGUCGGGUAAGUUCCGACCCGCACGAAAGGCGUAACGAUUUGGGCACUGUCUCAACAACAGACUCGGUGAAAUUGUAAUUCCGGUGAAGAUGCCGGAUACCUGCGACAGGACGGAAAGACCCCAUGGAGCUUUACUGUAGCUUGACAUUGGGUCUUGGUACUACAUGUACAGGAUAGGUGGGAGGCUUUGAAACCAGGACGCCAGUUUUGGCGGAGCCAUCCUUGGGAUACCACCCUUGUAGUACUGGGACUCUAACCAUAGGCCAUGAAUCUGGUCUUGGGACACUGUCAGGUGGGCAGUUUGACUGGGGCGGUCGCCUCCCAAAAGGUAACGGAGGCGCUCAAAGGUUCUCUCAGUACGGUCGGAAAUCGUACGUAGAGUGUAAAGGCAAAAGAGAGCUUGAUUGCAAGACAUACAGGUCGAGCAAGGAUGAAAAUCGGACUUAGUGAUCCGGUGGUUCUGCGUGGAAGGGCCAUCGCUCAACGGAUAAAAGCUACCCUGGGGAUAACAGGCUUAUCUCCCCCAAGAGUCCACAUCGACGGGGAGGUUUGGCACCUCGAUGUCGGCUCAUCACAUCCUGGGGCUGUAGUAGGUCCCAAGGGUUGGGCUGUUCGCCCAUUAAAGUGGUACGCGAGCUGGGUUCAGAACGUCGUGAGACAGUUCGGUCCCUAUCCGUCGCAGGCGUAGGAAAUUUGAGAAGACCUGUCCUUAGUACGAGAGGACCGGGAUGGACGUACCUCUGGUGUACCAGUUGUCCUGCCAAGGGCAUGGCUGGGUAGCUAUGUACGGAAUGGAUAAGCGCUGAAAGCAUCUAAGCGCGAAGCCAACUUCAAGAUAAGAUUUCCCACCGCAAGGGUAAGACCCCAGAAAGACUAUCUGGUUGAUAGGUCGAAGGUGUAAGUGCAGCAAUGUAUUUAGCUUAUCGAUACUAAUAGGUCGAGGACUUGACCAA